rnacentral:rRNA from 1 species
AAAACUUUAAAAAGGGUAAAGGGAUUCNUUUUAAACGUUUGAUCCUGGUCUCAUGACGAAACGCUGGCGGCGUGCCUNCUUACAUGCAAGAUCGAGCGAAACCGAAGGAGCUUGCUCCUUUAUGUUAGCGGCGGACGGGUGAGUAACACGUGGGCAACCUGCCCUGCAGACUGGGAUAACUUCGGGAAACCGGAGCUAAUACCGGAUAACACCGAACACCGCAUGGUUUUCGGUUGAAAGGCGGCUUUUAGCUGUCACUGCAGGAUGGGCCCGCGGCGCAUUAGCUAGUUGGUGAGGUAACGGCUCACCAAGGCAACGAUGCGUAGCCGACCUGAGAGGGUGACCGGCCACACUGGGACUGAGACACGGCCCAGACUCCUACGGGAGGCAGCAGUAGGGAAUCUUCCGCAAUGGACGAAAGUCUGACGGAGCAACGCCGCGGUGAGCGAAGAAAGUCCUUCGGAUCGUAAAAGCUCUUGUUUGUCAGGGAAGAAAAAGUGCCGUUCGAACAGGGGCGGUACCUUGGACGGUACCUGACGAGGAACCACGGCUUAACUUACAUGGCCAACAGCCGCGGUAAUACUUAAGUGGGCAGGCGUUUUUCCGGAAUUAUUGGGCGGUAAAGCGCCGCGCCAGGCGGGUCCUUUAANUCNGAUGGGAAAUCUCCNCGGGUCCAACCNCGAAGCGGCCUUUGGAAACUGGGGAAAUUUAUUGCUGGAUAGGGAACGGAAUUCCCGGUUCCGGNGANGCUAAAAAGUGGAAGAAAACCUUGGUAAAGGGGUCUCUGCUUUAUGAACUUUAGGCAAACUGGGGACG